UGUUCGUCGCCCUGGCUGUUGUCUGCGACGAGUUCUUUGUGCCCUCACUCAAUGUCAUCAUAGAGCGACUAGACAUUUCCGAGGAUGUAGCAGGGGCCACUUUCAUGGCAGCUGGGGGGAGUGCCCCCGAAUUAUUCACCAGUAUCUUCGGGAUUUUUGUUUCAUACAGCGAUGUUGGAAUCGGAACCAUUACGGGAUCAGCAGUAUUCAACAUACUCUUCGUUAUAGGGAUGUGUGCCUUAUUUAGCAAGGAGGUACUCGCUUUGACCUGGUGGCCUCUCUUUAGAGAUGUCACCUUCUAUAGCAUAGACCUACUUUUAUUAAUCUGGAUUUUCACCGAUGAAGUCAUCUACUGGUGGGAAUCCUUAAUCUUACUCCUUUGUUACUUUGCCUAUGUUAGUUUUAUGAAAUUCAAUGCCUCAAUUGAAAGGGUGGUGAAAUCCAAGCUGUACCGCAGGACGGUUACUCGCGUAAAAAGUACUGACAAUCUCAUCGAGGUAAGAUCCUUUAU
rnacentral:lncRNA from 1 species